ACCCGAGAAGGGUAAAACUGUGAAUUUAAUUUAUUUAUGUGCUUGUGAACUAUAUAAUUAUAUAGUAUAUCUGGUGUGUCCUUUUUCAGGUGUGUUUAGACAAGUUGGCGCGGUAUAGUCACAAUCAGGUAUUUCGGGCCGAACUGGGUUCGGGGCCGAAAUAUAAUUUUGGGAUAAAUUAUUGGCAUCUUAUUUAUGUGUGAAUAAUCUAAAUUUUUUUUUUUUUGAGUUUAUUUGUGAUAUGAAUGACCAUUUUGUCCUAGAAUGCUUUUAAGUGUGUUAUAUGGCCUUAGGGUCAAUAUGGUAAUUUGGCCUACAUGUAUUAUUUGUAGUAAAUGGAAUUAUUUGUAAAAAAGAGAUUGUAUUUUCUAGUUUUUCACACCCAGCCGACCCCUCUCUUUCUCUCUCCCUAAACUUCUUUUCCAAGUUUUGAUUUUUGUUGAGAAAGAGCUUGAAUUUUUGCUAACUUUUGGAGCUUGGAAUUUGGAGGUGUUGGGGAUUGUUCUUGCUAUAAUUUGAGGAUUACCGACACUUGGUUAGGAGCACCCGGGGAUUUGGAAUCUCCAUAUUUGCAGGACAUCAGGAAAGGGUAAAUUUGUUUCUAAUCACCCAUGAGUGUGGGAGCUGGGCGAUGAAUGUAAAUGUUCGGGCCACACUAGACCAAGCGAGUUGGGGUCUACCAGCGUUGAAACUUUUGUAACUCUGUUUUGCUACUUAGGUCGGCUAAGGGAAAAGACUUGUAAUAUUUUGUAAAAUAAUUUUGGGAUCCCGAAACACGUAACUUUUGUUUGUAAGGUUAAAAUUAUUACAAAUUUAUUUUCAUUC